AUUGAACGCUGGCGGCAUGCUCUACACAUGCAAGUCGAACGGUAACAGGGAGCUUGCUCCGCCGACGAGUGGCGAACGGGUGAGUAAUGCGUCGGAACGUGCCGAGUAGUGGGGGAUAACGCAGCGAAAGCUGUGCUAAUACCGCAUACGUACUGAGGUAGAAAGUGGGGGACCUUCGGGCCUCACGCUAUUCGAGCGGCCGACGUCUGAUUAGCUAGUAGGUGAGGUAAAGGCUCACCUAGGCGACGAUCAGUAGCGGGUCUGAGAGGAUGAUCCGCCACACUGGGACUGAGACACGGCCCAGACUCCUACGGGAAGCAGCAGUGGGGAAUUUUGGACAAUGGGCGAAAGCCUGAUCCAGCCAUGCCGCGUGUCUGAAGAAGGCCUUCGGGUUGUAAAGGACUUUUGUCGGGGAGGAAAUCCCCAGCGUUAAUACCGCUGGGGGAUGACAGUACCUGAAGAAUAAGCACCGGCUAACUACGUGCCAGCCGCCGCGGUAAAAC
rnacentral:rRNA from 1 species